AAAAGCCAUGUGUACAAAACUCGGACCUGAAGGAGAAGAAGCUGCUGGAGGAGAAGGAGAACGGCAAAGAUGCCGCCACCAACGGAAAGGAGAAUGAGGAGAACGGCGAGCCUGAGGUAGAUGAUGAAGAUGAUGAUGAGGUUGACGAGGAGGACGAGGAAGACGAUGUAGAAGGUGACGAGGAAGACGAGGAGGACGAUGAUGAUGAAAUUGAGGGCGGCACAAAACGGGCAGCUGAGGAUGACGACGACGACGACGAGGACGACGUCGAAACCAAGAAGCAGAAAACCGACGACGACGAUUGAUGCGUUUCCCCCCCACGCCACUUCCUGGUUUCUUCACCUCUGACUGUUUUUAUAUGUCACCUGGGGGGGGGCGGGAG